GUUAGAACCAGAGCAAAAAUAAAUACAGGGGAGUAUGGGUGGGCACAGGCAGUAUUCACCACACCUGCUCAGCAGACCCUAAUGACAUACUAACCUGAAACCAGCAUCAGCAGGAUUUGGGUCCGUCUCAUGAGUCAUACCUAGGGACUUCCCAACAGUGAAGUUUUUGGGGCUCCUAGGAAGAAGAUGAGCUAGAGAGGUCGACCCAGGAUUGCUGAGUAUUAAAUCAAGACUGGAAAGCAGGUGCUUGCAAGUCUGGAGCUCUGUGCAAGCUCCCAAGAGCACAGCCAAGGCUGUCGCCUACCUCAGGGAGCUGCCAAGCGUUGGAGUCCCAGCCCCUGCCUCAGUUGGCAGUUUGAGAGCUUCUGCAAGUGCCCCAGAAGAGACCCUAUAAAGUGGGUUUUGUGUCUUCUUGGUCACAAGUGGGUAAUUUGGUCUCCUUUCACAACUCAGGUUUGCUUUUGUUUUUUUAAUUUGAAAUAACACCAUCCAGUUGGUGAAGCCUACAGGGAGAACUCUUUUAUUACUAUUUCUAAAUAUAAUGUGAAGAAACUGCUGACCCAGAGCUCUGCAACAGGAACAAAUUGUGCAGGGUCUUUUAAAGAAGAGGCUAGAUGGCCAUCUGAAGUUGAAGGAAGGGGGCCCUCCAGGAUGUGUUUUCUGGAUAAGCAUAAAACCUCAGCUCUGCUUUCUUCCUGAUACAACCGUCAUGUCAGAGGAAGAAUGGGCAUUGUUCAUGACCUGUUUGAACUCCGUAAUCCUGACUGUAAAGUAGAGCAUCUAGGCUCACAUUCAAGGCUCUUCUUAAAGCACCAUCUAAGUCCCCGCUGCAUCAGUUAAGGACACUGCAAGCAAGGGCUUUAUAUGUGCUGUCUCCGGAGGUUGAUGCCCUUCCACAUUGUUUGCUGGAGAAAUGGGAAAUAAGUUUCUCUUUUGCACACAUGCCUAGAAUCUAGCAGUGAAAGGCACAUGAUGUGUUCUCAGUCAUCAAUACUAUGUAUCUGAGUCUCAACUCCUUAAAUAGAAAUGAUAAUAUAUGUACAGCCUUUAAGCAUGCUAUAAGAAUACCAGAUUUUGUAUAUAAAGCAUUCAUCACAUGGCUUGGCAAAUUGUAGGCGAUUAAUUAAUGGUGUCUAUGAUAAUGUGCCUCAGAAAUAAAUAGUUGC
rnacentral:lncRNA from 1 species